rnacentral:tRNA from 1 species
AGCUCAGCUGGGAGAGCGCAACGCUGGCAGCGUUGAGGUCAGGGGUUCGAGCCCCCUA